GCCAGACGCUGUUAGUUUUGUGUUAGAUGACCCAGCUUAGUGGUGAUGUCAUAUAAACCCAAUGAGCAUGUUGCUAUAGGAUAUGGCAGGCCUUCGCCAGGAGGAAGGAAUUUGUAUUCUCCUGAGGAUGGGGACAAGUUCACGUUCCUCUGUGAUGGAGUGCUAAUUGCCACCCACAGAUGGGAGAGCAAAUUACAGCAAAGCUUCUUUCCAGAUACCUGCUGAUGCUUUUCUAUGGCUGAGAUUUCGAAGGCAAAAAGCAGUUUUUUCUGUCCUGAGUUGUAAGGGUUGCAAUUUGGCCUUUAGGGAAGGACCAGCAUUUGAAAAGCACCCCUGGGGUCUUAUUUGUGCCUGGGACCCCUGAGUGGUUCUGGGUGCGGGCUGCUUGUGCCAAACUCCUGUGCCCGUGGGGCGAUGGACGAACAGUGGCAGUGUCUGUGCCUCAGCCGCUCCUGCGAGAACAUCCUUUGUGCUCACCGCUGAUCCUCAGCAGCCAUCAGACACCUCGUGGGAUCUGAGCCCCACCGUGCACGUUUGUGCCACUGCUGGGAAUGUAACUGCAGAAAAGGGUAAAGGAAAAAAAAUCCUGUGGUGUUUGAUUUGAGGACUGAUUAAAACACAGCUGAUGCUGGGGUUUUGUUAUAAACUUGUGUGAAGUGCCCAUGAUUUUAUUUGGGAAUUAGAAUGCAAUGCUGGAUAUGCCUGAAAAAAACUGCCCCACAGAAAGGAAAUAAGCUAUUAAACCUAGAAAACAAAGAGAAAAGGACACAAAAGGGACAGUUUUUUUCCUUGCUGCUUCUUCAAAGUGAUUCUUCUUUAUGCCAUCUGAUGUAAUUUUGUCACUGGCUGAGGUGAUGUUUCUAGCAAACCACUCCACUGUGUGUUUUGUUUUCCUCUUUUUCAUCUCUGAUUGACAGUCCCACCAAGAAAUAACAAUGAAAAGGGCUUUCAUGGGAUUAGAUAGAGGCAGUUAAAUUUCCUGGGGCACAAGUGUGUUUUGAGGAAAGGGAUAAAAGUGUAUUAUUCUCUGGAUAAUCCUAGCUGAAAUAUAAAGGACCGCUUUUGGUGAAUAAUUAGAGAAAAUGUCCCAAAACUACCUUUAAUUGGUAUAGCGUAAAAACAUGUAUUAACAGAGAUUACAGGUAUUUUUGCUUUAGCUCCAGAUAAGUGAAUAAUCUGUUGUAUUUUACUUACAUUGUAUUGUAGCUUUUAUUAUUGGUUCACUUUAGUGACAAUAGUGACUCAGUAAUUCCAACUAUGUCAGAAGAGUAGAAAAUUAUUAAAUGAGCAUUAAGGUGAAGCUUUAU